UACGUAGGGUGCAAGCGUUGUCCGGAAUUAUUGGGCGUAAAGGGCUCGUAGGCGGUCCAUCACGUCGGGAGUGAAAAGCUGGGGCUUAACUCCGAGCCUGCUUCCGAUACGGGCAGACUAGAGGUAGGCAGGGGAGAGCGGAACUCCUGGUGUAGCGGUGGAAUGCGCAGAUAUCAGGAAGAACACCGGUGGCGAAGGCGGCUCUCUGGGCCUUACCUGACGCUGAGGAGCGGAAAGCGUGGGUAGCGAACAGG
rnacentral:rRNA from 1 species